AUUGAACGCUGGCGGCCGGCCUAACACAUGCAAGUCGAACGCGUGGCGGACGUGUGAGUAAUGUCUGGGAAACUGCCUGAGGGAGGGGGAUACCUACUGGAAACGGACGCUACAACCGCAUACCAGCAGAUGUGCCCGGGUGGGAUGAGCUUGUUGGUGGGGUAACGGCUCACCAAGGCGACGAUCCGUAGCUGGUCUGAGAGGAUGACCAGCAACACUGGAACUGAGACACGGUCCAGACUCCUACGGGAGGCAGCAGUGGGGAAUAUUGCACAAUGGGCGAAAGCCUGAUGCAGCCAUGCCGCGUGUAUGAAGAAGGCCUUCGGGUUGUAAAGUACUUUCAGCGGGGAGGCGUUACCCGCAGAAGAAGCACCGGCUAACUCCGUGCCAGCCGCCGCGGUAAUAC
rnacentral:rRNA from 1 species